GCUGAAAUGGAUCAUCAGAAUUAUCUCUCUCUGUGUGUCUCUCCCCUUUCUGCUUUUCCUCCUUUGUUUUUCUGUGUUCUGUCCUCAGCUAGGCCCUCCCACUGUGAUGGUCAGUAGAAGAAGAUGCAGGUUCUAUUACAUUGCACCCAGUCUAGUUUUCCAGGGGGAAGAAAGGGCAUGUUUUUCCUAUGGUUUUAGCAAAGAUCCAUGGGAAAUUCUCUUUACUUCAUCUUAAUAAUAUGACUUCGGUUUUGCACUGAAUGUGUUUCCCCAGAAUUCACAUGCUGAAACCCAACCCCUCAGUGUGAUGGUAUAAGAGGUGGAGCCUUUGGGAGGUAAUUAGGAUCAGAUUAUGUCACGAAGGUGGAACCCCCAGGAAUGGGGUUAGUGCCCUGAUCAGAGUCCUGGGACAGUCUCCUUCCUCUCCCUGUUCUCAGCAACGUGGAGAUACAAGAAAUGGACAGUCUGCAACUCCAGAAGAGAACUCUCAUGCGAAUCAACCAUACUGGCACUUUGACAUCGGGUGGGCAGCCUUGGCCCCAGCUGCCCACGAGGACAUUGCUCUCCUGAGCUUCCUACUCUCAGCCCUGUGCUCUGUCACCUGGACACUGAGUCAACAAAUCAAAGGCUGGACCUCAGAGAGUUGCUCAGGAAGACAGCUUCUGGUUUUAACCAUCUUUACCUCAGGGUUCAAAGCCAACCCUUUGGGAGGCAUCAUGUCCUCAACCAGCCAACCAGCCAUGAUGGCUACUCAACAUACUAGAGAUUCCUGGAGAAGGACACAACGUUAUUCUGGUCCUCAGGAGUUGGAGCCCAGAGUGACGGAGACACCAGCACACUGCCUCCCAGCUGAAUGGCCAGUUCACAGCACCAGGAUGCCCACUGGAUACCAGUCAGCAGGAAAAAAAAAAUCAUGUGACACAGAUGGUUGUUCACACAAGGAGCCGGGUCUGCAUAAUUGUAUCACUAAUCAGCAGUAAGGCAAUUAGUUGUGUAAGUGUGCUAUAAUCAUUCUAACAGAAGAGAUGACGAAAAGACAAAAAAAAAGGGGGGGC
rnacentral:lncRNA from 12 species